UAAUAUCAUCAUUUAAGACUGAGGAUGAUGAAAAAUUUUUUUUAAAGAAACGAAUCCAGUGAAACAAAAUGACAAGGAUUAAGGAUUAAGGAUUCGUACUUUAUUUUAUCCAUGUCCAAAAAUACCUCAAAAAUAAUCAUAGUGGUGUAAAAUUCAAGAAUGAUCAAAACAUGGAUACAAUCAAAGCUAGUAUCCAGAAUAGAUAUUUUAGACGAAAAGAAAAAAUUUCAUUUUUUGAUGAAUAGUGCCGUAUUCGUGAAUAGUACCGUAUACGUG
rnacentral:lncRNA from 1 species